CCUACGGGAGGCUGCAGUGAGGAAUAUUGGUCAAUGGGCUUACGCCUGAACCAGCCAAGUCGCGUGAGGGAAGACUGCCCUAUGGGUUGUAAACCUCUUUUGUCGGGGAGCAAAAGCCGGACGGGUCCGGCUGUGAGAGUACCCGAAGAGAAAGCAUCGGCUAACUCCGUGCCAGCAGCCGCGGUAAUACGGAGGAUGCGAGCGUUAUCCGGAUUUAUUGGGUUUAAAGGGUGCGCAGGCGGAUUUUGCAGUCAGCGGUCACAUAGGGGGUCUCAACCCCAUCCAGCCGUUGAAACUGGGGAUCUAGAGUGUGCGAGAGGUAUGCGGAAUGCGUGGUGUAGCGGUGAAAUGCAUAGAUAUCACGCAGAACCCCGAUUGCGAAGGCAGCAUACCGGUGCACAACUGACGCUCAGGCACGAAAGCGUGGGUAUCGAACAGGAUUAGAUACCCCAGUAGUC
rnacentral:rRNA from 1 species